AUUGAACGCUGGCGGCAUGCCUUACACAUGCAAGUCGAACGGUAACAGGUCUUCGGAUGCUGACGAGUGGCGAACGGGUGAGUAAUACAUCGGAACGUGCCUAGUAGUGGGGGAUAACUACUGGAAAGAGUGGCUAAUACCGCAUGAGAUCUACGGAUGAAAGCAGGGUAUCGCAAGACCUUGUGCUACUAGAGCGGACGAUGGCAGAUUAGGUUGUUGGUGGGAUAAAAGCUUACCAAGCCGACUAUCUGUAGCUGGUCUGAGAGGGCGAUCAGCCACACUGGGACUGAGACACGGCCCAGACUCCUACGGGAGGCAGCAGUGGGAAAUUUUGGACAAUGGGCGAAAGCCUGAUCCAGCAAUGCCGCGUGCAGGAUGAAGGCCUUCGGGUUGUAAACUGCUUUUGUACGGAACGAAAAGCUCUGGGUUAAUACCCUGGGGUCAUGACGGUACCGUAAGAAUAAGCACCGGCUAACUACGUGCCAGCCGCCGCGGUAACAC
rnacentral:rRNA from 1 species